CGGUAACGGAGCCGGGGCUCUGUGUGUAGGCAGCGGCGCCAGAGGAGGAGGAGCAGGAGGAUGCAGCUGCGACCGCGGCCCCAAGAGGGAGCCGCCGCUGCUCUGUGGCCACAGGGGCCGAGGGACGGGAAUCAGGCCUGGGGGUCGCGUCGUUGAGGGGACUAGGGACAGCAGUCCCACCAGAGACUAAGGCCUAGUACCCCAGGAGGGUCCGGGCCGCUGGGCAAGCGCCUGUCCCCCAUCGCCUCCCCUCGUCCCUCUACGUCGAUGGUGGUGAAGUUGGCGGCGCCACGGAGCGCAAGGCACCAAGCUGCCUCCCUUGCACCCAGCUCCUCUCUGGCCCCGGCUCUUGGACACCUGCGCCGCCGCCUUCUCUCGCCCGCCGAGCCCACCCCCGGCGGCGGGCGGGGGAGGGGCUCCCCCCCUGCAGGGGCUGCGUCGAGCAGGGCAACGACGGGGACCCUAGAAGAGUAGGGGAAGAAGACAAGAAUUGGGAGUUUUCUUCUGAUCAUGCUAUGCUGAGUUGGGCAGAGAGACCAUGGCAAGGUCACACAGCACAAGUUGAAGCCGAGAUUCAAACUCAUUCUGGUUCCAGAGCCUGUGAAGUGACUAUGGAAGACAUUCACGUGGAGAUGGAUACUCAUAUGAAUGUAGGUUGAGAUUGGA